rnacentral:tRNA from 1 species
GCGGACGUGGCGGAAUUGGUAUACGCGCCAGCUUGAGGGGCUGGUGCUCGCAAGGGCUUGAGGGUUCGAGUCCCUCCGUCCGCA